GUUCCAUUUUUUUUUUUUUUUUUUUUUUUUCUUUCCGGCCUCUGGAGAAUGUUUGGACAUACGGAUUUGCAGAUUGUCAAUUUGCAACAAAAUCUCUGUUUUGAAGGGUUUGAACAUGCUACAGUCCUAGUUUUGAAAACCUGCAGAUUUUGUCAAAUUUGCAACAUAGCUCUGCUUUGAAGGGUUUGAUCAUACUGCCGUUCUAGUUUUUGAAAACCUGCUGUAAAAUUGCAUGACGUCUGAAGAGAUUCUAGUACCUUGGUUUUGUCAAAAUUGUAUCUAUCCUAUUGAGUUGCUUAAAUUUUUGUAUAAUGAUGAGACAUGUUCUCAAUGCAGAAACAACAACAGCAAGUGAAGGUUGUACCCAAGCAGAGGUCUCAAACAUUAGACUCACGAUUUGCAAACAUGAAGGAGCAAAGGAUGAGGGUCUUGUCUCAGCAGAAUAACGGGCCAAGAAGAAAUGGAGGAGGCCAGACUGUGGUGCCUUGGGCAAGAGGUCGUUUUGGCAAUUGAUAUCUGCCCCGAUCUGGAUUUGGGGCCGACCACGUGGAGAAAUGCUUGUACUUAUAAUUUUUUUCGCUCGUUUUGAUGUUUAACUAGGAUGGUCCAAAAAGGUGUACUUCAACAAUAGUCUUACGAUAAUAUCUUGCAGUUUGCGUAUUGUCUUUCAUAUUGAAUGUUAUUUCUUUAGUUCCUCUCUCUGUCUCAUUCGAUUCAGCAAUAAAUCUCUUUUAUGUAUUAGAUUUGUGCGGCCAUUUGGUGGAUUGUGAGGAUUAGAUUUGGCCAUUUCUAAUUAAAUGCCUGAAAUUUGUGUGUGUGAGAGAGAGAGAGAGAGAGAGAGAUGGUCGUGUGAAAAUUAAGACUUUAUUGAAUUGCUUUAUGUGACUUUCGUCCAUGCAUGGAGUCAUCUGUACUUGGAUUUUGUGUUAAUAGGAUAGAAAUUUAUCCUUUGAUUUAGCACAGAGCUAGAAGAAAAAAU
rnacentral:lncRNA from 1 species